rnacentral:rRNA from 1 species
CCUACGGGAGGCAGCAGUGGGGAAUAUUGGGCAAUGGGCGCAAGCCUGACCCAGCAACGCCGCGUGAAGGAAGAAGGCUUUCGGGUUGUAAACUUCUUUUAAGAGGGAAGAGCAGAAGACGGUACCUCUUGAAUAAGCCACGGCUAACUACGUGCCAGCAGCCGCGGUAAUACGUAGGUGGCAAGCGUUGUCCGGAUUUACUGGGGGUAAAGGGCGUGCAGCCGGGAAGACAAGUCAGAUGUGAAAUCCCGCGGCUCAACCGCGGAACUGCAUUUGAAACGGUUUUUCUUGAGUACCGGAGAGGUCAUGGGAAUUCCUGGUGUAGCGGUGAAAUGCGUAGAUAUAAGGAAGAACACCAGGGGCGAAGGCGGAUGACUGGACGGCAACUGACGGUGAGGCGCGAAAGCGUGGGGAGCAAACAGGAUUAGAUACCCCAGUAGUC